GGGCAUGUCUGAUGCUCAGUGGUAGAGAAUCUCCUUUGCAUGGAGAAGGUCCUAGAUUCAAUCUCUGGCAUAUCCA
rnacentral:tRNA from 1 species